GACACGCCUGGGCUCCUUUGGACUCUGCAGGAGGACAACCCACCAGUGAGACCAGGGUCAUAAGCCUCCCGGCACAUCCUGGUCCAAGCAUGCAGACUUGUCCCAGAAAUCCCACAAGAUGUGGAAGUACACCCAGGGUGCACUACCACCACCUACAGGACUGCUGGGGAACUGCAGCUUAAACCUUUUUUGUAACCCACGUGCUCUGAAAUUUGUGGCCCCGCUGAGGUCUUGGAUCCAAGCGGUGGACUUGUAGGUCCUGGUCAUGCUAGCUGGACAAGGUGGACGUGGCCUGCUGACGAGGUGGAUCCAGGUAGGAUGAGCUCCUAAGUGGAUCACACCCCAGAUUACAGCGGGAAGGUGGAAGCACCUCGCAUGACGUCCAUGGACAAACAAAGACCAGUGACGGAAAUAGAAAGAGGAAAGAUUGUCAAACAUCAAGUGUGUUUAUUUAUAAAAAUCAAAAUGUUCUACUUGCAAGUGAGGGAGAUAGAAAACAGUGAAAGAAAACACCUGAUAAAGGGGGCGUGGCCUGGUGAGACAGGAAGUGAGAAGUGAUCAAAAAUGGAAGCGUUCACCGUGUCCGAAGUGUGCUUGGAUCCCGCCACCU